CCUUGGUUAUAGAGGAGCGGAUUGACUAAAGGGUGCCAAGUCUAAUCUCCAAUGUGCUUCCGAAUCGGGAGGCGCGCUGACUGCACAGGCUUCUGCCUGCGAUGUACCGGGUCCGACCUGCCGUCUUUUUGGAUGUGUACCCGCUUUUCCAGACGUGGCACCUGGGAACGAGCUGUCAGCGCGGAAGUCGUCGGGUGAAACGAAUGGCUGGCGGAGCGUGCUUACGGAAAACAAACGUGUUUAUAACACAGGCACGCGGGCGCUUAGAGACACCGCGAGACAUGCGGAAAGCAAUAGUGCAAACUAAUAGUGAUGCAAUUACCGACGGCGACGUGCUGCAAGAUGAGAAGCCUGCCGCGUACUCAUUUUAAAAGGGCUUCACGUGUCCAGCAAGGUGACUUCCUGGUGCCCUAUCUUGCCUGAGACUGGGUCCAGGUCCUCCCAAGACCCCGAGCAGGAUACGUCAUUGGAAGAUGGAUGGUGAUUGUUAAAAGAAUACUUCAGUAAAUGUUUAUGAUACAUUGGC